ACCCGAACGAUAUGUAAAGCUUUCUUAACUACUAUUGAGAAAAUCUAUUAAGUUCCAGCCUUAAAUCACUCCGUCUAACUUUUCCACUACUCGAAUUUAAUUAUUCCUCUUCUCCUCUAGUUUGCAAAUCCCUAAUUCUCCAUAUCUCAUUGUUUCACCAGAUUCAUCAUUGUUUUGUCCUUAUAGUGUUGAUGCCUCUUUUUUUUUCUCAGAGUCUAGGAACGUUAAGAAAGGAAGGGAACUCAUGGGGAUUCACAUGUUCCUGCCUGAUGAAAAGAGUUUAUCCGUAUUGGGAAUGGCUGCCGGUGACCAAGACCCACAGGAGUGGGAGCUUCCACAGUGUUUACAUGAUAUUGUUGGGAGCACUUUAACCUUCCAAUUGAAUCUAUCCCACUUCAACUUCACUGUGAAGCAGCAGAGCUUCACUGUUUUCCCGCAUUUUAGAAACCAACCAGCGUCCACCACAGUCUAAUUUUGAGGUUCUGCUAACACCUCCAGAACACCCAAUAAAGAAACUCCAACAAUAGGAAGCUCUUUUGCGCAAGAUAGAUUACAUCCUGGUGCAGCUAUGACUACUGAGGAAAGAGCUGGUGUCACCACUCAGAAAGAAUUUGUUAACGUGAAGAGAAUCAUAGUAAUUAGUAAGGUUAGUGAUGUAUCAAUGGAGCCUAAGGUUGAGUAAGAAGAGGUUGAAUUAUCUCCUACCUUUGAAUGUGCAGCACAAUAAUCUCAAACCAAGCACAGAUUUAUUGUUCAAUAUUGUUUGCUCUCUGUUUCUCCACAUGUUAAACUGCCAAGUGCUUCUUAAUCUCCUCAUUUUAGUGUCUUUUCAUGUUAUGUAUGAAUUCAUCUCUUAGGAUUUGCUUAUCGAUCCUCACAAUAGAGGGGUCCAAGUCUUCAUGUAUGUGCCUUUUGUAGUCCAGUCUCAGAGUUAAGCUAUUCUAAGUUAUGAUACUCUUCUCUACCACUCCUAACAAUAGUUUAAGAAGCUACGUACAG